CUUCAGCAAGCAGCAGCAUAUGCACACCUCAAACUCACCAGGAUACUAAGCCAGCUAAGCUGAGAUUGGAUAUGGGGUCCUUUGCUAAAGCUGCGCGUUUCCUGGUGCCUCUCCAGAUCGCCUUGUUCGUCGUCUCAGCCGUCAUCAUGAACAGCUCAGUCUGCCAUGGAGCUCGCGACAUCAGUGCAGGAAUCGGCUACCCUUCUUUGAACCCUAACCAUCCUCCGUGCGCCAGGAAACCGUGCCCGUCGCCUGGUCAGCCCUACACCCGCGGACCCCCUCCCCCAAACAACGGAGGAAUUGGACGGCCUUGAUGCAUCAUGUCUCCCUCUAGCAGUGCAAGUUACUACCACGAUCUUGCACUGAAUCGGCAGCAAUAUUGUCUCGUGUACUUACGUUAUGGUUGUGCGAACAUGAAACUUCGGUUCAGAAUUAAUAAAAGACAUUGAUGAGAGCGCACUGUAUAGGAGUUUGUUUAUGUGUGUAAUUAUAUGUAUCAACUGAGAACAGACCGUCGGUCUGGUGGCAAGACGUGCGGGAGCGCAUGCUGCCCACCUGGGUUCGAGCCUUGGGCUCGGCGGAUGCUCGGGAGUUUUCUUCUAAAAAAAUACCAAUGGGUGCUAGUGUCUGGGUUGGUCUCGUUUUAACUAUAUGUAUCAACUUAUUUUUCGAUAAAAAGAAUAUAUUAAUAUUGCGAAAAUACUAAUUA